rnacentral:lncRNA from 1 species
UCUAGAGAACUAAGUUUCUUCUCAUUAUUAUUGAAACUUGGUGGGUUGUUUAUCACAGGGUUAGGUCUUGGAUUUUGCUGGUUGAAGCUAGGACCACCUACAUUUGAAUUUUGUGACCAUGAAAAGUUUGGAUGAUUCCUCCAACCUGGGUUAUAUAUGGGUGUAUAGGGAUUGUUCAUUGGUCUUUGGUAUGUGGCAUUUACCUGUGCACAUCCAUUUUCUAUUGGAUUUAUCAAGAAGCGGC